rnacentral:sRNA from 1 species
GGCCAACACACGAAGGACCCACAGAAAACGUUUGUUACAGCUAGAACGGCUGCACGACCAAAAGAGGAAGAUAGUCUUGGGACCCCUGCAUGGUGUUUCAAAGGGUGGUGAAGAACUAAGGUAGAAGAAUACAUGUUCACUUCCAGUGAACAAGAGCAUGUUCCCGAACUCAAUUUUGGGUCGCCCACCCUUCACUCCAAAUCAUCAACAACAUAAUAACUUCUUUACCCUGUCACCUACUGUUUAUUCACACCAGCAGCUUAUAGAUGCACAAUUCAACUUUCAGAAUGCAGACUUGUCUAGAGCUGUGUCAUUACAGCAGCUGACAUAUGGAAAUGUCAGUCCAAUACAGACCUCAGCUUCCCCAUUAUUUCGAGGAAGGAAGAGAUUAAGCGAUGAAAAAAACCUUCCUCUUGACGGUAAACGGCAACGUUUCCAUUCACCCCACCAAGAGCCAACUGUAGUUAACCAGAUAGUGCCUUUAUCAGGUGAACGAAGAUACUCAAUGCCACCAUUGUUUCAUACACAUUAUGUACCAGAUAUAGUCAGAUGUGUUCCACCUUUUCGAGAAAUUCCAUUUUUAGAACCUAGAGAAAUCACACUGCCUGAGGCCAAAGAUAAGGUAAUAAUAAUGUAGAUUUUAGUUUUGCCUUUUGGGAAUUUAGUAUAAAUAAUGUAUUAAUCAAAAAUAUUUAAUAUCCUGGAUUAAGUAGAACGUGCCUUUUUUGUUGCAAUGUUUAAAGUACUAUUCAGCCUAAUUUUCUGUCUAAACAUUACUUU